GCACCUUAGAGACUAACAAAUUUAUUAGAGCAUAAGCUUUCGUGAGCUUCAACAAAUCCAUCACAUUUCAGACUGGAAGCGUGGAAAAGUUAUUUUGCUUUUGAGGGGGGAGACAGAAAGGAAAAAUAUCAGAACUCAGGCUUGACUUAAGUAGAUGAUACUCGAGCAUACUACUAUAACAACUGUGGCGGGCUCUUGAUGACAGUUGGUCAGUUACCCUCUCCAUAUAAUUUUUAUUUCAAUCCUGGGGGGAUUAUAUUUAAUAACAAAAGCUAAUAUAUUAUGUAAAGCUACAAGUGAUUUCAUGAUUUUUUUUGUGAUUAGAUCCAUGACCUUGAUAACCUCCAUAGAUGAAAAUCUCUACUUUUAUUUUAAUAGAAAAUUCUAAUUCAACUCUUUGGAGCAGCUCAGAUGGACAUUCAUAUUGUGACACUACUGAAUAGAAUGUUUCUGCUUGCUGAAUGUUGCUAAGGUCACAUAUGAAAUCAGAUAAACUCAGAAAACUCAUCUAUGACUAGAAUUAUUUUCAAGUGAAACAACUCUGACAGUAAACAAAUUAUUCCCAUAUUCUCAACAUGCAGAACAAGAUCAUGAGUGAUCAUUCAUACUCAAUCUUCAAAAGUCUGAGCCAGAUUUCUGAUGCACAAUUUUUGAAAAUAUUAUAUUGCUUCCAAAUACAGCUCAAUACAGAUUUAGACACUAGCAAGUUAUUUGAACUCCUUUGCUGAAGCCCUUUCAAAAAUUAAAUAAUUGUUAAAUCACAAAUCUUAAUGCUGAGAACAUUUCUGAAAACCCGUAAUGCCUUUGCAGACAUGGAGAUACAAGCCAAUAUACAUACUAUUACAUACAAAACUCCUUGACGUUACAAGAAUGUUAUAUUUGCAAAGUCAAGCCUUCAAAAGUUAGUAAAUGCCUGCAUAAAGAAUGCCCACACAACCUUAAUUCAGCCUCUUUGUGCAUACACGCUAUGAUACAAUCUUUAAUUACAUGAUCUCAUACUAUUUUUUCCUCUGCCAUAGCUUCAUUUUUUAAAAAAAGGAAACAAAAAACAAUCCUAACAUGUGGAACCAUGUUGACCUCCACAAUGCUAUCCCCCAAGCCCCUUUGCGUCUCACCCCUCAGAAUUCCAAUCAAGUUCCUUCCUCCUCCUCCUCACUGCCUAGGCAUCACCAGGAAGAUCACUGAGAGCACAGAAAAGACUCUGCUCUCAGUUCCUGUACCGAGCACCACAGUGACCCAUGGCCUCUGGGAGAAACAACUGUAGAGAAAGUGCUACAGAGCCCCUGGAGAGGGGCAUGCUCAGUCAUUCUACGGUGAUGGUGCUUGCGCAGCCUGAUCAAAUGCAGGCGCUGCGAGGGGAUGGAGCAUACUCAGCGCAGACGCAAUCUUCAGAGAAGUCAGCUGCCGAACUCUAACAAGCUUCUAGUGAGCAUGUGCAAAGUGCAAUGUUUGGAGGCUCUUUACUAAAUAUGGGCAGAUUUUCACUGGGACAGCAAAAGGUACAUCCCUGAACCCAGGCAGACCUCCCCCCUGCUAAAUUUCAAAUCCCUGCUCCAAAGCAUGGAUGUUCUGUAUCUUCUCAACAAAAUGGUUUUAAGAUAUUUUUUAAAUCCAGGCAAAAUAAUGUAUUUUCUCCUAACCUUGUAUUCAGUAAUGGCUAAACCAUUUUUGCUGAAACUUUCCAUUAACAUUCAGUCUGAAAAGGUUAAAAGUUAGGGAAAGUUACAAGCCAAUUGAAAACAGGGCCUUAAUGGGAAGCAUUAGGCAAACAAACUACAAGCUUCACUUAAAUAAGCUCAGCAUAAUUUAGUCAGUUUGUAGAACCAGCCAUUUCAACAUAAAUUGACAGUAUCAUCAAUGUACACUGACUGGAAAAAAAGAUGCUCUUGAACUGAUUUGGGGAUAUAAUUUGAAAUUUAGCAUAAAUUUUAAAAAAUGUGUUUUCCCCAAGUUAUUUAGACAGUUUUCAAAAUUAGCAAUUUACACCAGGAAUGUCAGAGACAUAAGUGCAAUUAUAAGGUGAAGACAUCUACUAUUAACAGCUUGUUAAAACUUAAUACGAUAGUGUAGGAUAGCUGAAUUACAAACUAAUAAAAAUAACUGGUUUAACAAAGACUUCCUAUUGAACUGAGAAUGAUUUGA